rnacentral:rRNA from 1 species
CUACAGAGGGUGCGAGCGUUAAUCGGAAUUACUGGGCGUAAAGCGCGCGUAGGCGGCUACUUAAGUCAGAUGUGAAAUCCCCGGGCUCAACCUGGGAACUGCAUCUGAUACUGGGUAGCUAGAGUUUAGGAGAGGGAAGUAGAAUUUCAGGUGUAGCGGUGAAAUGCAUAGAGAUCUGAAGGAAUACCAGUGGCGAAGGCGGCUUCCUGGCCUAAAACUGACGCUGAGGUGCGAAAGCGUGGGUAGCAAACGGGAUUAGAAACCCGAGUAGUCC